rnacentral:rRNA from 1 species
UACGUAUGGUGCAAGCGUUAUCCGGAUUUACUGGGUGUAAAGGGUGCGUAGGUGGCAUGGCAAGUCAGAAGUGAAAGGCCGGGGCUCAACCCCGGGACUGCUUUUGAAACUGUAUUUCUUGAGUGCUGGAGAGGCAAUCGGAAUUCCGUGUGUAGCGGUGAAAUGCGUAGAUAUUAGGAAGAACACCGGUGGCGAAGGCGGCUUUCUGGACUGAAACUGACGCUGAGGCACGAAAGCGUGGGGAGCGA